rnacentral:rRNA from 1 species
GCCAACGUUCAUAUCACGUUGAAUACACCAGUUCUCGUCCGAUCACUGAAGUUAAGCAACGUUGAGCGUGGAUAGUACUUGGAUGGGUGACCGCUUGGGAACACUAUGUAACGUUGGCA